rnacentral:rRNA from 1 species
GAAACUCUUUUGUAUUUUAGUGGCCUCUCUGAGAAAACAAACAAAUAAGUUAAAACUUUCAACAACGGAUCUCUUGGUUCUGGCAUCGAUGAAGAACGCAGCGAAAUGCGAUAAGUAAUGUGAAUUGCAGAAUUCAGUGAAUCAUCGAAUCUUUGAACGCACAUUGCGCCCGCCAGUAUUCUGGCGGGCAUGCCUGUUCGAGCGUCAUUUCAACCCUCAAGCCCUGCUUGGUGUUGGGGUCCUACGGCUGCCGUAGGCCCUGAAAGCUAGUGGCGGGCUCGCUACAACUCCGAGCGCAGUAAUGUAUCUCGCUAGGGAAGUGUUGCGGGUUCCGGCCGUUAACCCCCCAAUUAUCAAAGGUUGACCUCGGAUCAGGUAGG